UACGAAGGGGGCUAGCGUUGUUCGGAUUUACUGGGCGUAAAGCGCACGUAGGCGGAUUGUUAAGUCAGGGGUGAAAUCCUGGAGCUCAACUCCAGAACUGCCUCUGAUACUGGCAAUCUCGAGUCCGGAAGAGGUGAGUGGAACUCCUAGUGUAGAGGUGGAAUUCGUAGAUAUUAGGAAGAACACCAGUGGCGAAGGCGGCUCACUGGUCCGGUACUGACGCUGAGGUGCGAAAGCGUGGGGAGCAAACAGG
rnacentral:rRNA from 1 species